rnacentral:rRNA from 1 species
AUGGUACGAUGGUCUGAGAUUUGUAAGCCUCGCGAUCAGGGCGGGCUUGGGAUAAUGUGCUCCAAGCGGAUGAACAUUGCCCUCCUAACUAGAUGGCUUUGGCGGAUUACGAAUGGUGAGGGUGACCUUUGGCUUCGCAUCAUUCAGCAGAAAUACCUACGAGACCAACCCCUCGCCUUUUGCCAGCGGUCCGGUGGUUCCCAGUUCUGGCAAUCUAUCAUACAACUGCUUCCGGUCCUCCGCAUUGGAUCCUCGAUUACGGUUGGAUCUGGUACUGCCACGUUGUUUUGGUUCGAUCGCUAG